GGGACAUAUGGCAUUUGGUAAACACUUCACUUGGACACCUUUUAGCAAUCAUCCUUAACUGGAGAGAAUAUAAAUCCCUUUGUAAACUGGAAAGGGUAUUUCUUCACUAGGAUCAUCUUAAAUACUUAAGACAUCUCUUAAAUCUCUCUUUGAAAGCAAUAAAAGUCCUAGUUCUACAAAUUUGAACAAGACAUAAUAAUUGAUGACUUUUCUCUCAUUUGUAUUCCAGGUGUCUUGCCUCCACAGUUAGAAAAAACAAGCUGGAAUAAUUCCACCUGGUUCUUGGACUCUCUGAAGUUACUUCGUGUGAAUGAGUCUUGAGUUUGGACAUAAUUGUAAACAUUGGUUACAGUACCAAGGCUUUGACUGGAACGUCAUAUUUGAGAAAAAUAUACAGACUCAGACAUGACCGGAUAGCUUUUGAGGAAUGAAGAUUGAAUUUAUAAAAUAAAGCCAUUUGGAAAUAUGGGCCUGGUACCUUGCUUACAAGGGUUCAAAGCACACACACUGGACAAGUAAAGAAGGUCACUUAUCGGGCAGGUGCAAAGAAGUUCAAUAUUUUGGGGACCUCAGAAAAGAGGAAUUCCCCCAAAUCUGUUGGUAUUGCAGGUGGAGUCUGAUGACAAGUCCUUGGUCUGGCUUUCCUGGUCUCAAGAGGCUUUUAAAGUUCAAUCUGAGAUUUCUUAUAAAAGUUCUAGCAAAGCAGAUUUAAAAGAGCUUAUAUGAUAGAUUGCUAUCUUGCUGUACUUAUGUAAGUAAAUGGGCCACGUUUAUUGAAACUUGAAUUAUUUUGUAAAUAAGUCGAUCUUAGUUUGACUAUCUGUGGUAAAAAAAGGGGGUGAUUCUAGAGAGAAAAAUUAUGUUUCAAUAAAAACUAUAAUACAGA
rnacentral:lncRNA from 1 species